rnacentral:rRNA from 1 species
GUAGGGUGCAAGCGUUAAUCGGAAUUACUGGGCGUAAAGCGUGCGCAGGCGGUUUGUAGUCUGUCGUGAAAGCCCCGGGGCUCAACCUGGGAAUUGCGAUGGAGACUGCAAGGCUUGAAUCUGGCAGAGGGGGGUAGAAUUCCACGUGUAGCAGUGAAAUGCGUAGAGAUGUGGAGGAACACCGAUGGCGAAGGCAGCCCCCUGGGUCAAGAUUGACGCUCAUGCACGAAAGCGUGGGGAGCAAACAGGAUUAGAUACCCUGGUAGUCCACGCCCUAAACGAUGUCUACUAGUUGUCGGGUUUUAAUUAACUUGGUAACGCAGCUAACGCGUGAAGUAGACCGCCUGGGGAGUACGGUCGCAAAGAUUAA